rnacentral:rRNA from 1 species
CCCCUUUAGGUUGACCUCGGAUCAGGUAGGGAUACCCGCUGAACUUAAGCAUAUCAAUAAGCGGAGGAAAAGAAACCAACCGGGAUUGCCUCAGUAACGGCGAGUGAAGCGGCAAGAGCUCAAAUUUGAAAUCUGGCCCCCUCGGGGGUCCGAGUUGUAAUUUGGAGAGGAUGCUUCGGGUUCGGUCCCGGUCCAAGUGCCCUGGGACGGGCCGUCGGAGAGGGUGAGAAUCCCGUCUGCGACCGGUGACUGGGCCUGGGUGAAGCUCCCUCGACGAGUCGAGUUGUUUGGGAAUGCAGCUCUAAAUGGGUGGUAAAUUUCAUCUAAAGCUAAAUAUGGGCCGGAGACCGAUAGCGCACAAGUAGAGUGAUCGAAAGAUGAAAAGCACUUUGGAAAGAGAGUCAAACAGCACGUGAAAUUGUUGAAAGGGAAGCGCUUGCGAUCAGACUCGCCCGGGGAGGUUCAGCUGGCACUUGUGCCGGUGCAUUGCUACCCGGGCGGGCCAGCGUCGGUUUGGAUGGCCUGUCAAAGGCCCCCGGAAGGUAGCGCCCUUUGGGGCGUCUUAUAGCCGGGGGUGUCAUGCGGCCUGUCCGGACCGAGGAACGCGCCUUUGGGCUCGGACGCUGGCGUAAUGGUCGUAAGCGGCCCGUCUUGAAACACGGACCAAGGAGUCUAACAUCCACGCGAGUGUUCGGGUGUUCAAAACCCGUCCGCGCAGUGAAAGCGAACGGAGGUGGGAACCCCCUGGGGUGCACCAUCGACCGAUCCUGAUGUCUUCGGAUGGAUUUGAGUAGGAGCGUGGCUGUUGGGACCCGAAAGAUGGUGAACUAUGCCUGAAUAGGGCGAAGCCAGAGGAAACUCUGGUGGAGGCUCGCAGCGGUUCUGACGUGCAAAUCGAUCGUCAAAUUUGGGUAUAGGGGCGAAAGACUAAUCGAACCAUCUGGUAGCUGGUUCC